rnacentral:rRNA from 1 species
UCAGGUGGCCGCAGAGAAUAGGCCCAAGCGACUGUUUACCAAAAACAUAGGUUUCUGCUAAGUCGCAAGACGAUGUAUAGGAGCUGACGCCUGCCCGGUGCUGGAAGGUUAAGGGGAUCUGUUAGAGCAAUCGAAGCAGUGAACUUAAGCCCCAGUAAACGGCGGCCGUAACUAUAACGGUCCUAAGGUAGCGAAAUUCCUUGUCGGGUAAGUUCCGACCCGCACGAAAGGCGUAACGAUUUGGGCACUGUCUCAACAACAGACGCGGUGAAAUUGUAAUUCCGGGGAAGAUGCCGGAUACCUGCGACAGGACGGAAAGACCCCAUGGAGCUUUACUGUAGCUUGACAUUGGGUCUUGGUACUACAUGUACAGGAUAGGUGGGAGGCUUUGAAACCAGGACGACAGUUUUGGCGGAGCCAUCCUUGGGAUACCACCCUUGUAGUACUGGGACUCUAACCAUAGGCCAUGAAUCUGGUCUUGGGACACUGUCAGGUGGGCAGUUUGACUGGGGCGGUCGCCUCCCAAAAGG